rnacentral:rRNA from 1 species
CCUACGGGUGGCAGCAGUGGGGAAUAUUGGACAAUGGGGGGAACCCUGAUCCAGCCAUGCCGCGUGUGUGAAGAAGGCCCUCGGGUUGUAAAGCACUUUCAGUGAGGAAGAACGCCUGGUGGUUAAUACCCAUCAGGAAAGACAUCACUCACAGAAGAAGCACCGGCUAACUCCGUGCCAGCAGCCGCGGUAAUACGGAGGGUGCGAGCGUUAAUCGGAAUUACUGGGCGUAAAGCGCGCGUAGGUGGCUUGAUAAGCCGGUUGUGAAAGCCCCGGGCUCAACCUGGGAACGGCAUCCGGAACUGUCAAGCUAGAGUGCAGGAGAGGAAGGUAGAAUUCCCGGUGUAGCGGUGAAAUGCGUAGAGAUAGGGAGGAAUACCAGUGGCGAAGGCGGCCUUCUGGACUGACACUGACACUGAGGUGCGAAAGCGUGGGUAGCAAACAGGCUUAGAUACCCCGGUAGUC